UCACGUCCAUUGAUGAAAAGCGCGGCCAACCAUGAGAAAUGAUGUGAAUUGCAGGACCCCGUGAACAUCGAAACUUCGAACGUACAUUGUGGCCUCAAAAUCUCUUGGGAG